GACGAACGCUGGCGGCGUGCUUAACACAUGCAAGUCGAACGGUGAAGCGCCUUCCUUUUUGGUGGGUGUGGAUGAGUGGCGAACGGGUGAGUAACACGUGAGUAACCUGCCCCCUUCUUCUGGAUAACCGCAUGAAAGUGUGGCUAAUACGGGAUAUUCUGGGUCUGUCGCAUGAUGGGUCUGGGAAAGAUAUUGUUUCGGUGGGGGAUGGGCUCGCGGCCUAUCAGCUUGUUGGUGGGGUGUUGGCCUACCAAGGCGGUGACGGGUAGCCGGCCUGAGAGGGUGGACGGUCACACUGGGACUGAGACACGGCCCAGACUCCUACGGGAGGCAGCAGUGGGGAAUAUUGCACAAUGGGCGCAAGCCUGAUGCAGCGACGCCGCGUGAGGGAUGGAGGCCUUCGGGUUGUGAACCUCUUUCGCCAGUGAAGCAGGCCUGCCUCGUUUGUGGGUGGGUUGACGGUAGCUGGAUAAGAAGCGCCGGCUAACUACGUG
rnacentral:rRNA from 1 species